GAAAUUCUAGAACAAGAUGGGGAAAAAGUUAAAUUACAGAGCUAUGAGAAAUUAAAGUCCAAAGUGCGAGAUUGGUUGCACUACCUUCAGAUAAACGAGACAUUUAAACAGGACAGGAAAAUAGGUUUCCAGAUGGAGAGGUCAAAAUUGGAAACAGAACUGUUAGAACCCAAUACUAAGAAUCUGUCGAGAAUGUAUAAUCUGCUGUUGAAAUGGAACACACAGGAUGAAACGGUGAAAUCAGCUAUGAUAAAAUGGGCACAAGAUAUCGGUCAUAACAUUAUGUUUGCUGACUGGGAACAGUUGUGGACCACCGGUAUUAAAUUUACGGCAUGUAAUGCCUUAAGAGAAAACAUUAUGAAAAUGAUGUAUAGGUGGUACAUGACCCCAGUCAAGCUUGCAAAAAUUUAUCAUCUGCCCAAUAACAAAUGUUGGAAAUGUAAUGAGACUGAAGGUACUUUUUAUCACCUUUGGUGGACCUGCCCGAGGAUAAAAGCUUUUUGGGAAAUGAUCUAUAAUGAAAUUAAGAAGGUUCUUAAAUGGACCUUCCCUAAAAAACCAGAGGCUUUUCUCUUGGGCAUUGUCGGCCAAUUGGUGAGAAGGAAGGACAGGACGUUUUUUAUGUAUGCGACAACAGCAGCAAGGAUUCUUCUAGCAAAGUAUUGGAAGACACAACAACUACCCACACUGGAAGAAUGGCAGACGAAGGUGAUCGACUAUAUGGGACUGGCCGAAUUGACUGGCAGAAUCCGUGACCAGGGGAAAGAGACAGUGGAAGAAGAUUGGAAGAAAUUUAAAGUUUAUCUUAGAACUUGUUGUAAAAUUCAGGAAUGUUAAAAUGUCAAGGGGUUGGGAAACAGAGAACUGCAGCUGUAAUUAAUAAUAUUAGAAGAACUUAAAAGAAAUUGAAUUGAAUAAUUAGUUGAUUGAGGAGUUGCUGAAGAAAUAUAAAACAAGGAUGCAGAAAAGGGGAGGUAUGGGGAAGUCCGGAAAGUAAGGUUUAUGAAAAAUGGCUAUGAAAUUAUACAUGUUUAUAUGUUUGUAUGUCGGUGUUUUGUGUAUUGUUUGCUUUCUUAUCUUAUGUUUGGAAAAUUAAUAAAAAUUUAUUU